rnacentral:rRNA from 1 species
GAGUUUGAUCCUGGCUCAGAGCGAACGCUGGCGGCAGGCCUAACACAUGCAAGUCGAGCGGAUGUAGCAAUACAUCAGCGGCAGACGGGAUAGUAACACGUGGGAACGUGCCCUUUGGUUCGGAAUAACUCGGCGAAAGCCGUGCUAAUACCGGAUAAGCCCUUACGGGGAAAGAUUUAUCGCCAUUGGAGCGGCCCGCGUCUGAUUAGCUAGUUGGUGAGGUAAUGGCUCACCAAGGCGACGAUCAGUAGCUGGUCUGAGAGGAUGAUCAGCCACACUGGGACUGAGACACGGCCCAGACUCCUACGGGAGGCAGCAGUGGGGAAUUUUGGACAAUGGGGGCAACCCUGAUCCAGCCAUUCCGCGUGAGUGAAGAAGGCC